ACUCAAAUGAAUUGACGGGGACUUGCACAAGCAGUGGAUUAUGUGGUUUAAUUCGAUGGUAAACGAAGAACCUCACCAGGGUUUGAAACUUACGUGAAAGCUCCAAGAAACUGGAGCCCUCGCAAGACUAGUAAGCAGGUGAUGCAUGGCCGUCGUCAGUUCGUGGUUUGAAUUGUUCCCUUAAGUGGGGUAACGAACGCAACCCUCGUCGUGUGUUACAAGUGUCACACGAGACCGCCCAGCACUAAGCGCGUAAACAUUUUUAAAAUGUUUGUGAAUUUAGUGCUGGGAGGAAGGAGAGGAUGACGCCAGGUCAGCAUGUCCCUUUGAUAUCCUGGGCUACACACAUAAUACAAUGGCUACUACAACAGGUCGCGACGAGGUAACUCUGAGCUAAUCCUUAUAAAAGUAGCCCCAGUUCGGAUUGAGGUCUGCAACUCGACCUCAUGAAGUUGGAAUUGCUAGUAAUCGCGGGUCAGAUAUACCGCGGUGAAUACGUUCUCAAGUCUUGUACACACCGCCCGU
rnacentral:rRNA from 1 species